ACGCUCUCCUCAUACUCUGCAACUGACUAGCUAGCAGUGCUUCAUGCGCAUGUGCGACUCCCAACAAAGAUGCAACAAAAGUGCGAUGCCUCACUCUGUCGCUAAAACAGAGAGCUCAACACACAGGGUGAAAAGAGGAGCUGCAGCAAUGUGCAGUACA